GACGAACGCUGGCGGCGUGCCUAAUACAUGCAAGUAGGACGCUGAAGGAGGAGCUUGCUUCUCUGGAUGAGUUGCGAACGGGUGAGUAACGCGUAGGUAACCUGCCUGGUAGCGGGGGAUAACUAUUGGAAACGAUAGCUAAUACCGCAUAAUAGUAGAUGUUGCAUGACAUUUGCUUAAAAGGUGCAAUUGCAUCACUACCAGAUGGACCUGCGUUGUAUUAGCUAGUUGGUGGGGUAACGGCUCACCAAGGCGACGACACAUAGCCGACCUGAGAGGGUGAUCGGCCACGCUGGGACUGAGACACGGCCCAGACUCCUACGGGAGGCAGCAGUAGGGAAUCUUCGGCAAUGGACGGAAGUCUGACCGAGCAACGCCGCGUGAGUGAAGAAGGUUGUCGGAUCGUAAAGCUCUGUUGUAAGAGAAGAACGAGUGUGAGAGUGGAAAGUUCACACUGUGACGGUAUCUUACCAGAAAGGGACGGCUAACUACGUG
rnacentral:rRNA from 1 species